rnacentral:tRNA from 1 species
UGGGUUGUAGUUCAGUAGCAGAGCACUUGCCUAGCAUGUAUGAGGCACUGGGUUUGAUUCUCAGCACCACAU